CCGCGUGAGUGAAGAAGGCCUUUGGGUUGUAAAGCUCUUUCGUCGGGGAAGAAAAUGACUGUACCCGAAUAAGAAGGUCCGGCUAACUUCGUGCCAGCAGCCGCGGUAAUACGAAGGGACCUAGCGUAGUUCGGAAUUACUGGGCUUAAAGAGUUCGUAGGUGGUUAAAAAAGUUGGUGGUGAAAUCCCAGAGCUUAACUCUGGAACUGCCAUCAAAACUUUUUAGCUAGAGUAUGAUAGAGGAAAGCAGAAUUUCUAGUGUAGAGGUGAAAUUCGUAGAUAUUAGAAAGAAUACCAAUUGCGAAGGCAGCUUUCUGGAUCAUUACUGACACUGAGGAACGAAAGCAUGGGUAGCGAAGAGGAUUAGAUACCCUCGUAGUCCAUGCCGUAAACGAUGUGUGUUAGACGUUGGAAAUUUAUUUUCAGUGUCG
rnacentral:rRNA from 1 species